rnacentral:rRNA from 1 species
UGCAGUCGAGCGGUAACAGGGGAAGCUUGCUUCCCGCUGACGAGCGGCGGACGGGUGAGUAAUGCUUAGGAAUCUGCCCAGUAGUGGGGGAUAGCCCGGGGAAACCCGGAUUAAUACCGCAUACGUCCUACGGGAGAAAGCAGGGGAUCUUCGGACCUUGCGCUAUUGGAUGAGCCUAAGUCGGAUUAGCUAGUUGGUGGGGUAAAGGCCUACCAAGGCGACGAUCCGUAGCUGGUCUGAGAGGAUGAUCAGCCACAUCGGGACUGAGACACGGCCCGAACUCCUACGGGAGGCAGCAGUGGGGAAUAUUGGACAAUGGGGGCAACCCUGAUCCAGCCAUGCCGCGUGUGUGAAGAAGGCUUUCGGGUUGUAAAGCACUUUCAUUAGGGAGGAAAACCUUAUGGCUAAUACCCAUGAGGCUUGACGUUACCUACAGAAGAAGCACCGGCUAACUCC